AUUGAACGCUGGCGGCAUGCCUUACACAUGCAAGUCGAACGGCAGCACGGGAGCAAUCCUGGUGGCGAGUGGCGAACGGGUGAGUAAUAUAUCGGAACGUGCCCAGUCGUGGGGAUAACGUAGCGAAAGCUACGCUAAUACCGCAUACGAUCUAUGGAUGAAAGCGGGGGAUCGCAAGACCUCGCGCGAUUGGAGCGGCCGAUAUCAGAUUAGGUAGUUGGUGAGGUAAAGGCUCACCAAGCCGACGAUCUGUAGCUGGUCUGAGAGGACGACCAGCCACACUGGGACUGAGACACGGCCCAGACUCCUACGGGAGGCAGCAGUGGGGAAUUUUUGGACAAUGGGCGCAAGCCUGAUCCAGCAAUGCCGCGUGCAGGAUGAAGGCCUCGGUUGGUUAACGUUA
rnacentral:rRNA from 1 species